AGCGAACGCUGGCGGCAGGCCUAACACAUGCAAGUCGAACGAACCUUUCGGGGUUAGUGGCGGACGGGUGAGUAACACGUGGGAACGUGCCUUUAGGUUCGGAAUAACUCAGGGAAACUUGUGCUAAUACCGAAUGUGCCCUUCGGGGGAAAGAUUUAUCGCCUUUAGAGCGGCCCGCGUCUGAUUAGCUAGUUGGUUGAGGUAAUGGCUCACCAAGGCGACGAUCAGUAGCUGGUCUGAGAGGAUGAUCAGCCACAUUGGGACUGAGACACGGCCCAAACUCCUACGGGAGGCAGCAGUGGGGAAUCUUGCGCAAUGGGCGAAAGCCUGACGCAGCCAUGCCGCGUGAAUGAUGAAGGUCUUAGGAUUGUAAAAUUCUUUCACCGGGGACGAUAAUGACGGUACCCGGAGAAGAAGCCCCGGCUAACUUC
rnacentral:rRNA from 1 species